CCUACGGGAGGCAGCAGUGAGGAAUAUUUGUCCAUGGACGAGAGCCUGAACCAGCCAAGUAGCGUGAAGGAUGACUGCCCUAUGGGUUGUAAACUUCUUUUAUAUGGGAAUAAAAUGUUCCACGUGUGGGAUUUUGUAUGUACUAUAUGAAUAAGGAUCGGCUAACUCCGUGCCAGCAGCCGCGGUAAUACGGAGGAUCCGAGCGUUAUCCGGAUUUAUUGGGUUUAAAGGGAGCGUAGGUGGAUUGUUAAGUCAGUUGUGAAAGUUUGCGGCUCAACCGUAAAAUUGCAGUUGAAACUGGCAGUCUUGAGUACAGUAGAGGUAGGCGGAAUUCGUGGUGUAGCGGUGAAAUGCUUAGAUAUCACGAAGAACUCCGAUUGCGAAGGCAGCUCACUGGACUGCAACUGACACUGAGGCUCGAAAGUGUGGGUAUCAAACAGGAUUAGAUACCCCAGUAGUC
rnacentral:rRNA from 1 species